rnacentral:rRNA from 1 species
UACGUAGGGCGCAAGCGUUAUCCGGAAUUAUUGGGCGUAAAGAGCUCGUAGGCGGUUUGUCGCGUCUGCCGUGAAAGUCCGGGGCUCAACUCCGGAUCUGCGGUGGGUACGGGCAGACUAGAGUGAUGUAGGGGAGACUGGAAUUCCUGGUGUAGCGGUGAAAUGCGUAGAUAUCGAGAGGAACACCUGCGGCGAAGGCGGGUUGCUGGGCUGACACUGACGCUGAUGUGCGAAAGCUAGGGGAGCGAACGGG